AGUGAACGCUGGCGGUAGGCCUAACACAUGCAAGUCGAACGGCAGCACAGUAAGAGCUUGCUCUUACGGGUGGCGAGUGGCGGACGGGUGAGGAAUACAUCGGAAUCUACUUUUUCGUGGGGGAUAACGUAGGGAAACUUACGCUAAUACCGCAUACGACCUACGGGUGAAAGCAGGGGAUCUUCGGACCUUGCGCGAUUGAAUGAGCCGAGGUCGGAUUAGCUAGUUGGCGGGGUAAAGGCCCACCAAGGCGACGAUCCGUAGCUGGUCGGAGAGGAUGUUCAGCCACACUGGAACUGAGACACGGUCCAGACUCCUACGGGAGGCAGCGGUGGGGAAGAUUGGACAAUGGGCGCAAGCCUGAUCCAGCCAUACCGCGUGGGUGAAGAAGGCCUUCGGGUUGUAAAGCCCUUUUGUUGUGAAAGAAAAGUAGCAGGUUAAUACCCCGCUGUUCUGACGGUACCCAAAGAAUAAGCACCGGCUAACUUCGUG
rnacentral:rRNA from 1 species